rnacentral:rRNA from 1 species
GACGAACGCUGGCGGCGUGCUUAACACAUGCAAGUCGAGCGGUAAGGCCCUUCGGGGUACACGAGCGGCGAACGGGUGAGUAACACGUGGGUAACCUGCCCUGUACUCUGGGAUAAGCCCGGGAAACUGGGUCUAAUACCGGAUACGACACUUGAAGGCAUCUUCGAGUGUGGAAAGUUCCGGCGGUAUGGGAUGGACCCGCGGCCUAUCAGCUUGUUGGUGGGGUAAUGGCCUACCAAGGCGACGACGGGUAGCCGGCCUGAGAGGGUGACCGGCCCACACUGGGACUGAGACACGGCCCAGACUCCUACGGGAGGCAGCAGUGGGGAAUAUUGCACAAUGGGCGAAAGCCUGAUGCAGCGACGCCGCGUGAGGGAUGACGGCCUCGG